rnacentral:rRNA from 1 species
CCUACGGGUGGCAGCAGUGAGGAAUAUUGGUCAAUGGCCGAGAGGCUGAACCAGCCAAGUCGCGUGAGGGAAGACGGCCCUACGGGUUGUAAACCUCUUUUGUCGGGGAGCAAAGCGAACCACGUGUGGGUCAGUGAGAGUACCCGAAGAAAAAGGAUCGGCUAACUCCGUGCCAGCAGCCGCGGUAAUACGGAGGAUGCGAGCGUUAUCCGGAUUUAGUGGGUUUAAAGGGGGCGCAGGCGGAGGUGCAAGUCAGCGGUCAAAUUGCGGGGCUCAACCCCGUACUGCCGUUGAAACUGCCUCCCUUGAGUGCGCGCGACGUCUGCGGAAUGCGUGUUGUAGCGGUUA